rnacentral:rRNA from 1 species
AGAGUUUGAUUCUGGCUCAGGAUGAACGCUGGCGGCGUGCUUAACACAUGCAAGUCGAACGAAGCAGCUUCUGCUGCAAGAAAGCUGACUUAGUGGCGGACGGGUGAGUAACGCGUGGGUAACCUGCCUCAGUACAGGGGGAUAACAGUUGGAAACGACUGCUAAGACCGCAUAACCCGCUAGUGUCGCAUGACACGGACGGAAAAUAUUUAUAGGUAUGAGAUGGGCCCGCGUCUGAUUAGCUAGUUGGUGAGGUAACGGCUUACCAAGGCGACGAUCAGUAGCCGACUUGAGAGAGUGAUCGGCCACAUUGGGACUGAGACACGGCCCAAACUCCUACGGGAGGCAGCAGUGGGGAAUAUUGGACAAUGGGGGAAACCCUGAUCCAGCGAACCGCCGCGUGAGUGAAGAAGUAUUUCGGUAUGUAAAGCUCUAUCAGCAGGGAAGAUAAUGACAGUACCUGACUAAGAAGCCCCGGCUAACUACGUGCCAGCCGCAGC